GUUGUAUGAGGUGGGCGGGUCUUUCUCUUCACUGUCUUAAAGUUUGUGUCUCUGAUCUGAUCUCAGCAUUAUUCUACAGCACUGCUCAUCUUCACACAUCAACACCAAAUCACAAGAUGAUCACAAUAUUCUGCGCUUUCUUCACUCUUCUGACCUGUGUCAGUGGAGUGACUGUACUGACUCAGAGUCCAUUAAUCACAGUCAAUAAAGGACAAACAGCUAAACUGGACUGUAAUCUGGGGACAGUAACUAAUGAUGCUGCUAGAUGGUACAAACAGACUCCAGGUCGAGUUCCUCAGCAUGUGUUAAGAUUUCGUCAUGGCUGGAGCUCAGUUGGAUAUGGAACUGGUUUCUCUGCUCCUAAAUUCACGAGCUUCCAAAACACAUUCAUCUAAAUCAGAUUAUAGUCUGAUCAUCAAUAAUGUGGAAGUGGAUGAUUCUGCAGUGUAUUACUGUAAGACAUGGGACAACUCUGUUAGUGAUUACGUAUCACAGUGAUUCACAGCAUGACAAAAACCUCCUCACUGCUCACAUUCGCUUCUGCUCCUAGAAAAUAAAUAUAAGUACCUUUUUUAUCAGCAGCUCCAAAUUGGACACUAAAGGAAACAUUCUUUAAUCCACAGGACUUUCUGUCUUCUGAGGAGCACAGAAGGAGAAAUUUAGCAGAAUGUCUAAGUUGCUCUUUUACAUACAAUUAAAGCAUAAAGUGACCAGUGACUGUCCAGAUACAAACAGGAUAUAAAAGCACAAUAAGAAGCAUGAAUGAGAUUUCAGAGUUACAGCAUAGUGAAAUUUUUAUUAUUUUCGCACAUACCCUUCAUUAAUGGACUUAUGGAAGAGCCCAUCAUGAAGGAAUUCAGGAUUUCACUUUUGUUUGGAAAAUGAUGUCCCCUUCCUGAAGUGGAUUGACUCAGUUUUAACAACUGAUUAUUUUUUAAAUAAUCAUGGAAAUCUUGAAAUAAUAUACAAAUGAACAAUAAUAAGAAUGAAUGACAUCAACUAGUAAAAAAGACUGAAACUGUGGGAGGUUUUUAAGUGAAGAUGUGACAUGUAUCACUGUGGUAUUCAGCCAAGGAACAAAACUCAGUGUGAUCGAUUUUCCUCUCACUCCUCCUGUUCUGACACUCUUGUCUCCGUCCACUGAGGCUCUGAAGGAGAGUAAAGCUACACUUGUGUGUCUGGCUGAGGAUAGUCACCUGGUCAGUCAAUGGUCGCUCCGUUUACAGAUGGAGUUUGGAGCAGUCCUACUGAGAAACAACAAGACAAAACCUUCAAAAUGAGCAGCUAUCUUCAAAAUGAGCAGCUAUAUGUGCUUCAAUUUUUGGUUUUGAUUCUGGAAUUAAAAAUCUUUGACAUUGGUUUGCAUUUUCUUUCAUGCAGGCACAUUCAUGACUCUCUUAAAUGAGUCUACCCCUCAAGAUUGCUGUUAUAAACAUGAGCCGCGUCUAAAAGGACUCUAGAUACGGUCGCUCCUCUGCGCCUAAGGAAGAUUAAGGAAAACAGUCCGACCCCGUGGUAUAACGAGCACACUCGCGCCCUAAAGAGGGCAGCCCGGAAAAUGGAGCGCAGCUGGAGGAAAACAAAACUAAAGGUUUUUCGUACUGCUUGGCGUGAAUGUACCCUAUCGUAUAGAAAAGCAUUAAAAACUGCAAGAUCUGAUUACUUUUUGACUUUUAGAAGAAAACAAACAUAACUAUAGGUAUUUAUUCAAUACAGUGGACAAGUUAACAAAAAAUAAAGAACCAACAGGCACUGACUGUGCCU